rnacentral:rRNA from 1 species
GAUGAACGCUAGCGGCAGGCUUAAUACAUGCAAGUCGAGGGGCAUCAAGGUACACGAAAGUGUAUUGUUGGCGACCGGCGGACGGGUGAGUAAUAGGUAGGUAACCUACCUCAUACUGAGGCAUAGCUGGGAGAAAUUCCAGGUAAUUCCUCAUGAGGUUAUAUGACACAUGUGAUAUAAUCAAAGGUAUCGCAAGGUACUGGUAUGAGAUGGGCUUACUGACCAUUAGCUAGUUGGUGAGAUAAGAGCUCACCAAGGCGAAGAUGGUUAGGGGUUUUGAGAGAGAGAUCCCCCAAUUGGAACUGAGAUACGGUCCAGACUCCUACGGGAGGCAGCAGUAGGGAAUAUUGGGCAAUGGGCGGAAGCCUGACCCAGCCAUGCCGCGUAGAAGGAAGACGGCCUUAGUGGGUUAGUAAACUUCUUUACUAUGCGACUAACUAGAUUUACGAGUACUAAUUCUAUAGAAUGUAGAUAGACAAAAAGCACCGGUA